CAUGUAUUUGUACAGGCGGCAAAAAUUCUUGCAAACUUGAUUGUUAUGGGCUCUGGAAUAUUGGGAAGGGCUUUAUUUCAGGCAUACCGUCAGGCUCUUGCAAAUGCCUCGAAAUCUGGUGUUGCUCAAGAAACAAUUCAGAAUAUCAGGAGAGGAAACAAAAUUAUGGCUGAACCAGAGGCAGACAGAUUUUAGGUGUGACAGAGCAUUCAUCAUGGGAGAAAUCUUGAAGAAAUAUGACAACUUAUUCGAGCAGAACGCUAAGAACGGGAGCUUUUACCUUCAGUCAAAGGUUCAUCGAGCUAAAGAAUGUCUAUAA